rnacentral:rRNA from 1 species
UGCUUUCCCGGGUGACGAGCGGCGGACGGGUGAGUAAUGUCUGGGAAACUGCCUGAUGGAGGGGGAUAACUACUGGAAACGGUAGCUAAUACCGCAUAACGUCGCAAGACCAAAGAGGGGGACCUUCGGGCCUCUUGCCAUCAGAUGUGCCCAGAUGGGAUUAGCUAGUAGGUGGGGUAACGGCUCACCUAGGCGACGAUCCCUAGCUGGUCUGAGAGGAUGACCAGCCACACUGGAACUGAGACACGGUCCAGACUCCUACGGGAGGCAGCAGUGGGGAAUAUUGCACAAUGGGCGCAAGCCUGAUGCAGCCAUGCCGCGUGUAUGAAGAAGGCCUUCGGGUUGUAAAGUACUUUCAGCGGGGAGGAAGGUGUUGAGGUUAAUAACCUCAGCAAUUGAUCGUUACCCGCAGAAGAAGCACCGGCUAACUCCGUGCCAGCAGCCGCGGUAAUACGGAGGGGUGCAAGCGUUAAUCGGAAAUUACUGGGCGUAAAGCGCACGCAGGCGGUCUGUCAAGUCGGAUGUGAAAUCCCCGGGCUCAACCUGGGAACUGCAUUCGAAACUGGCAGGCUAGAGUCUUGUAGAGGGGGGUAGAAUUCCAGGUGUAGCGGUGAAAUGCGUAGAGAUCUGGAGGAAUACCGGUGGCGAAGGCGGCCCCCUGGACAAAGACUGACGCUCAGGUGCGAAAGCGUGGGGAGCAAACAGGAUUAGAUACCCUGGUAGUCCACGCCGUAAACGAUGUCGACUUGGAGGUUGUUCCCUUGAGGAGUGGCUUCCGGAGCUAACGCGUUAAGUCGACCGCCCGGGGAGUACGGCCGCAAGGUUAAAACUCAAAUGAAUUGACGGGGGCCCGCACAAGCGGUGGAGCAUGUGGUUUAAUUCGAUGCAACGCGAAGAACCUUACCUACUCUUGACAUCCAGAGAACUUUCCAGAGAUGGAUUGGUGCCUUCGGGAACUCUGAGACAGGUGCUGCAUGGCUGUCGUCAGCUCGUGUUGUGAAAUGUUGGGUUAAGUCCCGCAACGAGCGCAACCCUUAUCCUUUGUUGCCAGCGGUUCGGCCGGGAACUCAAAGGAGACUGCCAGUGAUAAACUGGAGGAAGGUGGGGAUGACGUCAAGUCAUCAUGGCCCUUACGAGUAGGGCUACACACGUGCUACAAUGGCGCAUACAAAGAGAAGCGACCUCGCGAGAGCAAGCGGACCUCAUAAAGUGCGUCGUAGUCCGGAUUGGAGUCUGCAACUCGACUCCAUGAAGUCGGAAUCGCUAGUAAUCGUAGAUCAGAAUGCUACGGUGAAUACGUUCCCGGGCCUUGUACACACCGCCCGUCACACCAUGGGAGUGGGUUGCAAAAGAAGUAGGUAGCUUAACCUUCGGGAGGGCGCUAC